UUCUUGCUAGAUGGGAGAAGGGAUGAGUUGGGAAACUCAAAGUUAUAAUAUUUGACAAUAUUUUUAUCCUUGCCUUUCUUUCUUUGUCCACUGUUUAUAGGGGCUCAGUUCAGGAGCACGCAACAAAAAAUAUAUUUCUGGAUUCACCUGGACCUGUGACCUCAUAGAAGAGAGAUAUUAAGAUUAACCUGGGGAAAGCCUGGCAUUCAAUAGCAGAUCAUCACCCUUGAAAGCCCCAGACAUGGUUCUCUUCCUGCCUCUGUGUUUAUGCUGAAAGACAAGAAAGAAAAAUUACCUGGUAAGAUAAUUUCACUCCCCUCUUUCUAAAAUAUCAGCAGAUGUUCAUUAUUAUUAGGUUGGUGCAAAAGUAAUUGCCGUUUUUGCCAUUAUUUUUAAUGGCAAUUACUUUUGCAGCAACUUAUGGUAAAUAAUGUUAUUCUCUACAUUGAUUUUUAAGAUCUGUGUUCUUUCCAUGUUAAUCAUUUUGAUCUGGAUAAGAAUUUUUUUCUAACUCUUCUCUGAGAAACUAAAAUACAGAAUGGAAUUCCGCACUUUUUAGAAAAAUAUUUCAGACACUAGUCCUCUGCUGAAGAAAGGCAAGGAAUCUCAGAUCUUCAGGAUUGCAUGUGCUCCAUGUAAUAGGACUUCCUGAGGACAUGUUGAGUACUCUCUGGAGACUUUCAGAGGCUCAGCAUUCCUCUCCAUGUUGGCCCUGGGACAAAGGAGAGGCUUGGUCUAGAGACACCUGAGCUGGGAAAGAGGCUGAUGAACAAGGCCUUGGGGCCUGUUCUCUUUGGGUGCCUUAAUAGACCAAUCCACAGCCUCUGCAUCUGUGGUCUAAAACUUUAUUCUGGAGCCAUGUACCACACCCAGGUAGAUAGUCUGUGAACAAUGGAUUGAAGUCUUAGUUCUCACUGUAUCCCUCAUCCUGACCAUUCUGCUCUAUGCUGAUGAUUUCCCAAUCCCUCCUGAGACUUCCUAUUCAAAAACUCUCUGUAUUCUGAUAAUUAAUUUAGAAAAGCAGAGAGAGAGAAAGAGAAUAUAAGAGUCCAUUUAUUUUUUGGACUGAACCUAGGGUUCCUUUACCAGACUGAUAUUUCAGAUUUUUUCAAAUGUUGGUAAAUAUGGACUCCACUGAGUGUAUUUACAUGACAGUAAGAAGAUCCUAACGGCACACAAAACUAAAAGAUGGAACCAAAGCCCCAGUACUAAAUAAAAUGCAGAAGAACCUAAAGUUCCUCAUGAUCUGAAGUGUGUUGCUGCCUCAGUAACUGGACACAGAGAAAACGUGGUUUCAUAUACAGUCCCAGGUCAGCACCACAAAGUUAUACUAUGAUCCCAGAGUGUUCCUAAGAGUGGAGGAGGAGACAAAAAAGUGGAAAGGGAGCAGACAGCCCCUCCAUACUCUCCAUCCUAGCAGAUCCUACCAUGCCUCUGGUCUCUGGAUCCUGCCGCUUUUCUCUGGGACUUCCUGCUUUCCAACUUCAAUCUUACAGCAUGUCAUAAAUAUGUAUGUAUCUUAGUGUGAUGAAUAAGCUAUCUGACCACUCAUUUAUCCACUCUCCAAGGAGCUGUCAGAUACUAUGUAGCCAUAUUUAUACAGACAACCCAUUCCCUGAAUCAGGCAUUGCAGCCUGAGAUCCUUUUUCCUUAAUUUGUUAGCUGUUCUCUGAGUAAUCUUUAGCUUCUAAAAGGUAUGUGUUUCAGACAAUUAUGCCUAAAUUACCAGGUAAUAAUUUAAGUCACAGUAACAUAUUGUUCUUGCUAAUAAUUCCUAUUCCCCUGUGGAAUCUACCAAUAGGCAAAUUUGGUGCAAGGAGAGCCAGAGGGUCUCUCAUGCACUCUAAUUUGGCAACUGUGGCACUGUCAUGGUGAGGACCAAGUGACAGCCAUCAAAAUCAACUGCUGAUAUCUACUCUGUGAUAAAUCAGGUAAUAUACUCAACUUGAAGGUGUUCUCAGUCUCUUGGGAGAAGACAGGACACAUGCAUAUUAAUUUGAAUGCAGGAUAAUUGGUGAGUCAAAAACAGCCUGUGGAACAGGCUCCAGGAGCUCACUACUGACAGUGAAGAACUUUGUCCAGGAUGUGGGCUUUUCACAGGGGUGAGGAGCAAUUUCCAGGUAGACAUAGAGCAGAACUGCAUUCCUGCAGAGGAAACAGCUUGAGCAAAGGCACUGCAUAACUGCAGUAUGUUCCCUUUUCCAUUUUCCAGCUUUAAUUGAUUAAAAAAAUGACAUACCAUAAACUGCAUAUUUGAAAAUCAUGCAAUUAGAUAUUUUAACAUAUGGAUAUGCCCAUGUAACUAUCACUAUAAACAAAAAAAGAAAAUAUUUACCAUCCUUAAAAAUUCUCCAGGGCUCUUUUUAAAUGCUUCCCUAACUUUUCCCUCCCCAUCUUUAGGCCACCACUGAUCUGAUUUCUGUCAUUGUAGAUUAGCUUCCAUUUCAUAGAAUGCUAUAGUUAUGGGCUGAGUGUCUCCCCAAAAUUCAUUUGUUCAAAUCCUGCCGCCUAAUGUGUUGGUAUUAGGUGGUAUGCCUUUGGGUGGUAAUUAGUUUAGAUGAGGCCAUGAGGGUGGAGGAUGGGAUUCAUGCCUUUAUAAGAAGAGGAAGAGACAUUGGAGCUUUUUCUCUGCCAAGAGAAGACACAGUGAGAAGGUGGCUGUCCGCAAGCCAGAAAGAGAGCCCUCACUAGAAACUACAUUGGCCAACACCUUCAUCCUGGACUUCCCCAGCCUCCAGAACUGUGAGAAAUAAAUGUCUGUUAUUUAGGCCACACUGUUUAUUUUGUUAUACAUGCCAAGUGACUAAAACAGAUACAUAAGUGGAGCAAUACAAUAGGGACUCUUUUGUCUGGCUUCCUUCAUUCAACCUAAGUAAGAUUCAUCCAUGUUAUUGUGUUCAUCAAUAGUUCAUUCAUUUUAUGGGUAUAUCAUAUUCCAUUGUAUGAAUAUACCACAAUUUGCUUUUCUCUUUACUUUUUUAUGGAUAUUUUAUGGAUUAGUUGUUUACAAUUUUUGGUUUCACAAAUAAAGUUGCUGUAAACUUUCUUGUACAAGUCUUUGCAUGGGCAUAUUUCUGCAGUAAAACGUAUAGGUGGAAUGUCUUUGUUUCACAGUAGGAGUAUUUCAGAAACUUCCAAACACUUUUCCGAAGUGGCUGCCCCAUUUUUAUCUCCAUUAGUGAUGUAAGUGUUCCAGUCACUCCACAACCUUGCCAAUACUUGAUAUGGUCAGUCUUCUAAAUUUUAGUCAGUCCAGUCAUUCUAAUUGGUGGGUAGUGGUAUCUCACUGUGAUUUUAAUUUUAAUUUUCCUAAUUAUCCAUGAUGUUAAGCAUUUUGUGAUGUUCUUGUUUGUCAUUUGGGUAUCUUAUUUGGUAAAAUGUCUGUUGAAAUAUUUUUGUCCAUUUUUGUGCCUUCUUUGUUGAGUUAUAAGCAUUCUAUGGUUUUAGUUACAAGUACUUUGUUAGAUAAAUGUUUUACAAAGUUUUCCCAGACUCUACCUUCCCUUUUCA
rnacentral:lncRNA from 10 species